rnacentral:rRNA from 1 species
ACGUGAGAAUCAACCUUUAGGUAAAGCAUAACUGUUAGAAAUGAUGGCUAAUUCUUUAUACGCUGAGAAGCUAAAGCGCACGCGCCUAAAGACGAGCUCGCGCCUGAUUAGCUUGUUGGUGGGUUAAAAGCCUACCAAGGCGACGAUCAGUAACUGGUUAGAGAUGACGACCAGUCACAUUAGAACUGAAACACGGUCUAGACUCCUAUGGGAGGCAGCAGUAAGGAAUCUUUCACAAUGGGCGAAAGCCUGAUGGAGCAACCUCGCGUGGAGGCUAAGUUUUACGAAACGUAAACUCCU